CUACGGGAGGCUCCAGUGCGGAAUAUUGGACAAUGGGGGAAACCCCGAUCCAGCAAUGCCGCGUGUGUGAAGAAGGCCUGCGGGUUGUAAAGCACUUUCGGUUGGGAGGACUGCUUCUAGCACUAAUAUUGUUGGAAGUUGACGUUACCUUCAGAAGAAGCACCGGCUAACUCCGUGCCAGCAGCCGCGGUAAUACGGAGGGUGCAAGCGGUAAUCGGAAUUACUGGGCGUAAAGCGCGCGUAGGCGGCUAGAUCAGUCGGGUGUGAAAGCCCCGGGCUUAACCUGGGAACUGCAUCCGAUACUGUCUAGCUUGAGUACAGGAGAGGAGAGUGGAAUUCCACAUGUAGCGGUGAAAUGCGUAGAUAUGUGGAGGAACACCAAUGGCGAAGGCAGCUCUCUGGCCUGAUACUGACGCUGAGGUGCGAAAGCGUGGGGAGCAAACAGGAUUAGAUACCCCAGUAGUC
rnacentral:rRNA from 1 species